GAUUGUCUAUGGUAGACUGAUUAGUAAUUUUGUGGCCACCAGUGUGAAUUGCAAGACCGAUAGGAGUGAGCAAAUCGUCAUGAAAUUCUCAUGUCCAGGAGGGGAUGGGAUGGCACUGGUGUCGCGGGUGGCGUCUGUUGCGGGGCGUGCAGGGCCUGAGACUGAAUCGCAUUUGAGGAUGAGCAUGGAGAGUGAUGAGAGAUGGCUGGUUUGGUGAGCAGGAAGCUGCUGAGGGCCCAGAUGCCAGCCAGCCUGGCUCUUCAGUGGGAAGGUCCAGCUGAACGUUUGUACCAUCAUGUAUUUAAUGGGAGAAAGUCUAUCUUUGAUAUGUAAUUACACACUGCAUUUUUUCAACUGCUAGCUCAACAGGCCCAAGUCUCCGGAUAUUAACUGGUCAGAUCAGUUAGGAAACACACUGUUGCAUUGUGCAGCUUACCGGGCUCAUAAGCAAUGUGCCUUAAAACUUCUAAAAAGUGGAGCAGACCCUAAUCUGAAGAAUAAAAAUGUACCAGAAACAUGCCAUUCUCUUCAUAUGACCGUCAUUCAGGGUUAUGAUAACAAGCUAACUGUCUCCCAGUGAUGCAUACGUCCCAGUGCUUCCUGUCUCAAGGCCCACUUGCUUGCUUUUCUUGCAAACUUCAUCCUGCUCAGUCAUCUCAGCCAGAACUUUCCUGCUUCACAGCUGAAGGGAAAGAAGAGCAUGGAGACAUGCAGGAAGGGUCUUGGAGGAAGUGUGAACCAGUGAAGCAGAACUUCAAGAAAGGGAGGAGUGGAGCUGGCAGUAGGUCAAGGUUGGGGUGAGGAGGGCAGGGGAGGGGAGCUGCCCCACACAUGGAAGGAGCCUUCCCAGCUAU